AAUUUGAAGGCUGUAAGGUGGUGGCUCGGCCCUGUGCAAGUCCAUUGGAACAUGGCGCCAAGGAGGGUGACAGCCCCGUGGCACUAGGUCAACCACCAUAUACUUUACGGCCAAAGAGUCGAGUUGUUUGGGAAUGCAGCUCUAAGUGGGUGGUAAAUUCCAUCUAAAGCUAAAUAUUGGCGAGAGACCGAUAGCGAACAAGUACAGUGAUGGAAAGAUGAAAAGCACUUUGAAAAGAGAGUGAAACAGUACGUGAAAUUGUUGGAAGGGAAGGGCUUGCAAGCAGACACAACUUUUGUUGGGCCAGCAUCGGGGCGGAGGAGAGCAAAACAGGCGGUGAAUGUGGCGCCAGUCCUUUGGGCUGGCGUGUUUAUAGCGCCGCCAAAUACUCUCAUUCUGCCCCGAGGCCAGCGCAUUCG
rnacentral:rRNA from 2 species